rnacentral:tRNA from 1 species
CCCGUCUUGGCCCAGCGGUAGGGCAUUGGACUUUUAAUCCAAAGGACGCGGGUUCGAUUCCCGCAGACGUCAC